rnacentral:rRNA from 1 species
UACAGAGGUGGCAAGCGUUGUUCGGAAUUACUGGGCGUAAAGGGCUCGUAGGCGGCCAACUAAGUCGGACGUGAAAUCCCUCAGCUUAACUGGGGAACUGCGUCCGAUACUGGAUGGCUUGGAUUUGGGAGAGGGAUGCGGAAUUCCAGGUGUAGCGGUGAAAUGCGUAGAUAUCUGGAGGAACACCGGUGGCGAAGGCGGCAUCCUGGACCAAUAUUGACGCUGAGGAGCGAAAGCCAGGGGAGCAAACGGG